CAAUAGCGUAUAUUAAAGUUGUUGCGGUUAAAAAGUUCGUAGUUGGAUUUCUGCCAAGGACGACCGGUCCGCCCUCUGGGUGAGUAUCUGGCUUGGCCUCGGCAUCUUCUUGGAGAACGUUGCUGCACUUCGCUGUGUGGCGCGGUAUCCAGGACCUUUACUUUGAGGAAAUUAGAGUGUUUCAAGCAGGCAUCCGCCUUGAAUACAUUAGCAUGGAAUAAUAAGAUAGGACCUCGGUUCUAUUUUGUUGGUUUCUAGAGCUGGGGUAAUGAUUAAUAGGGAUAGUUGGGGGCAUUCGUAUUUAACUGUCAGAGGUGGAAUUCUUGGAUUUGUUAAAGACGGACUACUGCGAANGNAUUUGCNAAGGAUGUUUNCAUUG
rnacentral:rRNA from 1 species